GGAGGGAUGGCCGAGUGGCUGAAGGCGCCGGUUUGCUAAACCGUUGUAGUGUUUUAGGACGCUACCGAGGGUUCGAAUCCCUCUCCCUCCGC
rnacentral:tRNA from 1 species